rnacentral:rRNA from 1 species
GAUGAACGCUGGCGGCGUGCUUAACACAUGCAAGUCGAACGGAAAGGCCCAAGCUUGCUUGGGUACUCGAGUGGCGAACGGGUGAGUAACACGUGGGUGAUCUGCCCCGCACUUCGGGAUAAGCCUGGGAAACUGGGUCUAAUACCGGAUAGGACAGUGGUUUGGAUGCCAUUGUGGAAAGUUCUUUCGGUGUGGGAUGAGCUCGCGGCCUAUCAGCUUGUUGGUGGGGUAAUGGCCUACCAAGGCGUCGACGGGUAGCCGGCCUGAGAGGGUGUACGGCCACAUUGGGACUGAGAUACGGCCCAGACUCCGACGGGAGGCAGCAGUGGGGAAUAUUGCACAAUGGGCGCAAGCCUGAUGCAGCGACGCCGCGUGGGGGAUGACGGCCUUCGGGUUGGAAACUCCUUUCGCUAGGGACGAAGCGUUAUGUGACGGUACCUAGAGAAGAAGCACCGGCUAACUACGUG